GCAUUGGCGGUUCAGUGGUAGAAUGCUCGCCUGCCACGCGAGCGACCCAGGUUCGUUUACCGGCCAUUGUC
rnacentral:tRNA from 1 species